CCUACGGGUGGCAGCAGUGAGGAAUAUUGGUCAAUGGACGCGAGUCUGAACCAGCCAAGUAGCGUGAAGGAUGACUGCCCUAUGGGUUGUAAACUUCUUUUAUAUGGGAAUAAAAUGCAGCAUGUAUACUGCUUUGCAUGUACCUUAUGAAUAAGGAUCGGCUAACUCCGUGCCAGCAGCCGCGGUAAUACGGAGGAUCCGAGCGUUAUCCGGAUUUAUUGGGUUUAAAGGGAGCGUAGGCGGGUUGUUAAGUCAGUUGUGAAAGUUUGCGGCUCAACCGUAAAAUUGCAGUUGAUACUGGCAGCCUUGAGUACAGUAGAGGUAGGCGGAAUUCGUGGUGUAGCGGUGAAAUGCUUAGAUAUCACGAAGAACUCCGAUUGCGAAGGCAGCCGGCUGGACUGUAACUGACGCUGAGGCUCGAAAGUGUGGGUAUCAAACAGGAUUAGAUACCCCAGUAGUC
rnacentral:rRNA from 1 species